ACUGCUAUCGGGAUAGGACUAAGACAUGCUAGUCAAGCGCUUUCUAGCUAAUGUGAGAGCGCGGCAUACAGCUCAGUAACACGUGGCUAACCUGCCCUUGGGACGGAGACACUCCCGGGAAACUGGGGUUAAUUUCCGAUAGGUGAAAGAUUCUGGAAUGAAUUUUCGCUUAAAAGGCGUUUAUGUCAUGCUCAUAGGCGUUGCCCAGGGAUGGGGCCGCGACCGAUCAGGUUGUUGGUGAGGUAAUGGCUCACCAAGCCUUUUACCGGUACGGGCCGUGAGAGCGGGAGCCCGGAGAUGGGCACUGAGACAAGGGCCCAGGCCCUACGGGGCGCAGCAGUCGCGAAAACUUUGCAAUACACGAAAGUGUGACAAGGCUAUCCCGAGUGCCAUCCGCUGAGGAAGGCUUUUACCCAGUAUAAAUAGCUGGGAGAAUAAGGAGAGGGCAAGUCUGGUGUCAGCCGCCGCGGUAAUACCAGCUCUCCGAGUAGUGUGGAUGUUUAUUGGGCCUAAAGCAUCCGUAGCUUGCUAAGCAAGUCCCCUGUUAAAUCCACCGAUUCAAUCGGUGGAUUGCGGGGGAUACUGUUUGGCUAGGGGACGGGAGAGGCCGACGGUAUUUCCGGGGUAGGGGUGAAAUCCUAUAAUCCCGGGAAGACCACCAGUGGCGAAGGCUGUCGGCUAGAACGCGCCCGACGGUGAGGGAUGAAAGCUGGGGGAGCGAACCGGAUUAGAUACCCGGGUAGUCCCAGCUGUAAACGAUGCAGGCUAGGUGUUUGGGCGGCCACGAGCCGCUCUAGUGCCGCAGGGAAGCUGUUAAGCCUGCCGCCUGGGGAGUACGGCCGCAAGGCUGAAACUUAAAGGAAUUGGCGGGGGAGCACCACAAGGGGUGAAG
rnacentral:rRNA from 1 species